AAGAAAGGGUUCAGCUGGCUUUAUAUACCGCGCCAAAGCUCCGCCCACAGCUCAGCUGCAACAGCAACAGCAACAGCGCUGGACCAAUCAGAGGCCGGCGACGCCGUGACGUAUCGCGGAGGAGGAGCGCGUUUGCGUCACACCCACAGAAAAACACAGCCUGUAAUGGAAGGGGCUCUAAUACCCAGUUUUAUCCUUAUUCUGCUCUUUAUAAUAUUACCUUCCCCUGGCACCUUUUAUUUACUUUAUUCCUUUUCUUCUUCACUGAUUUAUAAGUGGUUUAUACACUCCUGGGCAAAAAAACACAGGCCAAGCCCAGAAUGGCAAAGCUCUUAAUGGCCUUAACAACAAAUCACUGGUGAGAAAAUGAGCAGGAAUGAAACAGAUGCACUCCUGAGAGCUCCUGUGCCUCCAUUUGCUGGUUUCCUUUUGCUGCAGUGAACUGUUUGUUUGGGGAAAAGCUAGAAACAGGGAAAUUCACUUCUACAGUCUUCUUGUACACAAAGGUAAAAUCAUCAUAAUGAUUAAAAUGUUUGGUGUAAAAUUCAAACUAACACGUCACAUGGGUGUACAACAUUUUCCAAAUAUCUUCUGGACGUUUUUUUUUUUUUUCUUAAAAGCUUAAUAUUUUGCCAUUUUGGACUUAGUCCAUUUUGUUUGCACAGGAGUGUACAUACUUAAGGAAGGAACGUGGAUAAUGUUCAUGUUUCUUGAAAAACGAAGUGAUGGAAAGGGCUGAAUGAGGAGUUUAAGAAGAAGAAGAUUUAAUUUGUCACAUAUACAGGACAGUACAGUGAAUUUCUUAUCUUCUCCUAUCCCAGCUCGUCAGGAAGUCAGGGUCCGAGCGCAGGGUCAGAGCGGGGUUAGGAGCAGAGAGGGUUAAGGGCCUCGCUCAAGGGCCCAACGGUGGCAGCUUGGUGGUGCUGGGACUUAAACCCCUGACCUUCUGAUCAGUAACCCAGACCAUACUCUACCUGUCCAGAGCUCUGAAUAACGUUUUGUUGAAUGCGGUUCUUAUAAAACAUACAACAAUAAAGAUGCCUGCCAUAUCUGCAAAAUGAACACAGUGCUAAUAACCCCACAUAAACACAUUUACUGUGUAGUUAUCAAUAUAUACACUGCACAAUGCAGCCCAAAACCUCAAGCAUUUAAGGUUAAACCUUAUGCUUUUUACUCUCUUUUUGUUCAUCUACACUCCUGGGUGAAAGAAUAUAGGCCAAGCCCAAAAUGGCAAAAUAUGAAGCUUUUAAUGGUCUUAACAACAAAUCAUUGGUCAGGAAAUGAGCAAGAAUGAAACUAAUAGAUAAAGGAAGUUAGUAUGCGAGAGCUUUUCCCUUUAAUUUCUUUAAAUGUUUAAGUCUUGUGGCUCUUGAUGAGCUGCAUCAGGUGCAGCAGAGAACCAAAUAAUCACUAAUCUUUUAAGAAAAAAAAAAAAUCCCAGAAGAUAUUUUUGGAAAAUUUUGUACACCCAGACAUGUGUUAGUUUGCAUUUUACAUGAAACAUUUGUGCGUCUGUUUCAUUCUUGCUCAUUUCCUGAGCAGUGAUUUGUUGUUAAAAGCCUAAUAUUAGCCAUUUUAGACUUGGCCUUUUUUUUUGUAUAUACAGUACAUAUUCUCCUUUUAGGCCUCUGUCUCAUUAUAGUACUUAUUAUAAAGAGUUUUUAUAUUAUUAUUAUUAUAAUACAAUAUUAUAUUUUAAUACUGAAAAACGCUAUAAAUACACAUGGUAGAGAUGGCACGAGACCACUUUUUCUUUUACGAUGCCAAUACUCAUAUUGAAACUUUGAGUAUCAGCUGAUAUUGAUACCCGGCUGAUAUUUGGUUUCUUUAAACUAAGCUUUAAAAUGAUUUUUUUAAACAGAAGCACAGAAGAAAAAAAUACAAGACUUACUCACAAAAACACAAUUUUCACACAAACAUUACUUACACUGGAUAAAUAAUAAAGGAUAUAAGGAAUAACAAAGGAUAAUAAAGGAAUAAAGGAUAAAAAUAGUAAAAUCUCUCUAUAUGUAAACAUUUCCAGUUCCAAAAAAAGUUUCCAAAUCCAAUUCCAAUCUUUUCCAUUUGUUAAUCAAAUUAGUUCUUUUUUUCCUCCAAUAUCUGAUCGAUUGUUUUUUGCUGGGAUCGUCUGAGUACUGAUCCUGGCUAUCAGAUCUGUGCCGUCUCUAGCAUAAGGUGAAUUCAGCUAUAUUGGAACAUUGAGGUAGUUUAACUUAGCAGCUUUUGUUUUCUGGCCUGAUAAGUAACAGUCUAAACUUUCGUUACUGAACCUUGCAGUGGAAGUGCUUGAUAGAAACAAACAUGACCUAACUGAUAAUAUAUGACACCUUAUAAAGGGAUGUGGUCAUGAUCAAACAGGAAGUCGACCCCUAAAAGCUUGAGGUAGAAAAAGUAAAUGUGCUUCCAACUUUGUGGCCACAGUUUGGUGAAGAGCCAUAAAUGGGUGUGAUGGUCAGGGGUUCACAAACUUUUGGCCAUAUAGUGUUCAUGCUGUAGAUGUUCUACUGAAACAAAAGAGGCCUAAAGGUAGUACAAAUCAUGUACAGAUGUUUAUAAUUUAAUCAUUUUUAAGAUGUCCCAAAUCACCAAAUGGUUCAGGUCAAUUUUGUUUUAUUCCUUUUAAGAAAGCUUAGACAAUGUGUAGAGCGAGAUAACACACCACACCAAGACAUUUUAGUGCUUUUCACUUGAACACACUUCUGCAACAUGGCGUCUGGAAUUACCCACUGUGUAAGGGGAAAUCCUGGGUGCAGGGCCACAUUAAAUGUCAUUUCUCAGUUUUCACAGCUAGUUUCAUGACAAAGUGCAGAUCUGUUGAAAGUUCCUUAUAUCUUGAGCUUCUGUGCUUUUCACUAUUCGUCCCUAACUGAAAGUGAUCAUCCUGGAAAAAGACUUUUUGUCAGUAGCUGAAAACCGACAAUGGUUCUACUGAUAGUGAGAUAAGCUUUUAGGAAAAAUGUUACCAUACUAAGCCUUAAGCUUUACACCAAAACUACUACUACUACUACUACUACUAUGACUGGCUUUAUUCCAAUUAUCCCACAGUUUUCUUUACACAAGCAACUUUAAUCUGCCCUAUUUUUCAAGAUAAAUCUGAAUGGCUGUAUCUGUUGGUGGAAAUAGAUGACACAAAACACUCAUCUGUUUGGAAAGUUGUGACCUUGCUACUCUCCUUCAGGCCAGACUGUAAGUGUGUUUUCCCUGUGUUUCUUCAUCACAGCUAUCAGCAGUCGAGGGACACUUCACUCAAGGCCCAAUCAGCUUGAAUAGCGCUCUUGAUAGAUAAUCAGCCAUUCUUUGCUUGUUCUUGCUUUAAAUGGUCACUCAGCUUGUGGUCUUUGACCACUCAGAUUGGACUGGCCUUGUACUUGUUCCAAGAUUGUUAUAUAAUACCUUUAAAAAAAAAAAAAUCCGGCUGAUGAAUGAGGUAUAUCUCUUUGGAGCUACGUGUCAGUUAACAGGUGUGAGAAUCAGGAAACAAGGGUGGGAGAGGAGGAAAGCAGGCUGAGUAUAGCCUCUCACACCCCGUGACACACAGACACAACACACUCUGAACACACACUCUUUCAUUCAAACUGAUGCAUGAGUGCUGAACAAACGCUUACUCAUUCUCACUGACAACAUAGUGACUUACCAGAAAAUUCUUUACUUCUAUUAUUUGCAUUGGUGGAGAAUACAUGAGAAAUUAUGUUUCAUUACUAUACUUAUGUGUUAUUUUGGUGUAUCUCCUUUGCCUCCCUAAAAGGCAUGAACUCCAUCUAAUUUAAAAAAGCACAGUGAGAUAAGUUUCAGUAGUUAGCUAACAUUAACUAGCUAUAUUUAACUUGAUUUCUUUGCUAAUACCAGGUUAGACUAGCAUCAGUUCCAGCAGCUAACAUCAUUAGUGAGUCAAAUUCUAGCUAACGGUAAAUAUUUGUUAGUUACAUGAUAUUUCACUUCUGAGUUCUUCAUUAUCAAACUAUGUAGCGUUCAUCAAUCAUAUGACCAGCAAUCCUACAGAGACUGAAUGAUGUUUCCAGACAAAACAGAGUAGUUGCUUUUAAAUAAAAUAAUCUAAAAUAAACAAUGUUAAAUAAGUUAUUUUUCACAUGAAAACAUGACAUUAACUUACUUUCAUCAUUUAAACUCAUUUACCUUUUACUUUUAAAUACUUGAGUACAUCUACAUUUAACAAACUUUAUUAUUUUCACUUGAAUUUUUGGCUGGAUACGUCCACUUUUAACUGAGUAAGGUUUUGAUACAUUAUACACUAUACGGCCAAAAGUAUAUGCACCCCUGACCAUCACACCCCUAUGUCUUCAUUCCCCAAACUGUUUCACAAACUCUGAAGCAAACAAUUGUAUAGAAUGUCUCUGUGUGCUGUAGCAUUACAGUUUCCCUUCACUGGAACUAAGAGGCCCAAACCUGUUCCAGCAUGACAAUGCCCCUGUGCACAAAGCGAGCUCCAUGAAGACAUGGUGUGUGAAGGUUGGAGUGGAAGAACUCGAGUGUCCUGCACAGAGCCCUGACCUCAACCCCACUGAACACCUUUGGGAUGAACUGGAACACCGACUGAACCCCAGACCUCCUCGACAUCCCAACAUCAGCGCCUGACCUCACUAAUGCUCUUGUAGCUGAAUGAACACAAAUCCCCACAGCCACGCUCCAACAUCUAGUGGAAAGCUUCCCAGAAGAGUGGAGCUCAUUAUAACAGCAAACACAGGGGGAAUAAAUCUGGAAUGGGAUGUUCAACAUGUACAUAUGGGUGUGAUGGUCAGGUGUGCACAUACUUUUGGCCAUAUAGUGUAAGUACUUUCACGUAAAGUAUUAUAAUAAGUAAACAUAAUUUCUCAGAAUGAUUUCCACUUUAUUUAUUUAUUUGUUAUACUUCACACUUUGAAAAUGUCACACUUUGAAAGUGGUCUCUGGUGAAAAUGUCAGGCUGUAGUGGUCUCUGGUGAAAAUGUCAGGCCGUAGUGGUGGGGGGUUUUACAGAGUGUUUGACCAGAGGCAAUUCUUACAACAAGCUGAGAUCCAGCAACAUUACAGCUCAGACGUUAUUGUUGGAUUGUCUAUAGAUUACAGCCCCAACCAUCAAACAUGAAAACAACCGUGUUCCUGCAAAGUGAAGAAUGUGGGGAAAAAAUGAGAUAGCAGAGUGUUGGCUCUGGUAGGGAAAGAAAUGAACAACAUGUGCAGGCCUGGUCCUAUAGAGAAGUAGUCAUCUUAAUAAAUACUGAAGUACUCACCAUAAUAAACACAACCCUCCCAUGAGUCAUUCUGGCUCUUCCUCUUUCAUCCAGAUCAUCUGGUUUCUCCUUUAUUUCUCCCCAUGAUCAUGAGUGCUGGAAUUAACCCUUUCACUAAGUAGCCUGUAACAGACUUUCACAUGUAAAUUAUGUAUUAGGGUAAAACUCAAAGCUCUACUCCACACAAAAUACAUACAGCAAUUUAUUUAUCACAGCAAUGAAGAUCUUCAAAUAUUCAAACUGCGUCUUCAUAAAAACAUUACAUUAUAUUUAUUAUUGUUCAAUACAUAGUAUAAAGUAAGAAAAUAUACUAAAACUUUGUAAAAGUAAAACAACUUUAGGGACUUUCUGGGACUUUCUAAACAUCGUAAGGUCUAAUAAAGUAAGUAAACUUUCUAAUAAAGUGAGAUCAUAGUGUCUGACUAAUGUCAGGGCUCUCAAACUGAGACUAGUCACUAUAGAUAGAAAUUUUGUCAUGAUACAGGUACACUCCUAGAUAGAAAAAUGAUUAGCUUGGAUGAUUAGCUUGCUUCAGCUCUUAUCUUCCUAAUGGUGUUCCGCUUGGAGCCUUCUCUGAUGUAGGUUCUCCCACAGACACAAGCCAGUGAACCCUUUUAAGGCUUUUAAAGGUUAAUGAAACUUUUUUGUAAGAGUGUAGAUAUAAAAGGGGUCAAAUAAAUGCACCAAAAAAAAAGAAAAGUGUGUGUGCUCCAAGCAGAACACCAUUAGGAAGCUAAGAGUGUAUGUGUGUGUGUGUGUGUGUGUGUGUGUGUGAGAGAGAGAGAGAGAGAGAGAGAGAAAGAGAGAGAGAGAGAGAGAGAAAGAGAGAGAGAAAGAGAGAGAGAGAGAACCAGAACAGUCUUGAGGGUUUUCUUCCAUCCCUUGAAAUGAUUUUUUUUUUUUUGAGUCACCAGUGGAAGUGACUUAAUUCUUCAAGUGACUUAAUUCCUCCUUAAGCUGUGGUAGAUUCUCAAACACACUGCUUCUUAUGUGAACUUAUCAAAUCUAGGAAUCAUAUUAGAAAUCCACAAGCAGAUUAAAUAUGGACAAAUAAGAGCUAAUCACAUUAUCAGUCCCCUGAACUGAUUUGCAUAAUGUACGGCACUGAUACUGAGGGCUUAAAGGGAGUGUGUCUGUGUGUGUGUGUGUGUGUGUGUGUGAGAGAGAGAGAGAGAGAGAGAGAGUAUGAUACAGAAAAGGCUUUAACAUUGCCGGCAGUGACUAACUCUAUUACCAGCAGCUGUUUCGUCGUACCUGUCUAACCUGAAUAGGAUUUCUGUACACAAUAUGGCACCCAGAACAACCAUACAGAUCAUACAACCUGAUUAACACCAUAACUGGAAAUGAAGUGCAUUUAAAACCAAAAAGCCUCAUCAAAGCAAAAACCAGAAACAAGCAUCAAAGCAUUAACCAUAUCCUAUCCUGGCAGGGAUUUGCAACCAAGCCGCUCCAGGUCGGAUUGAUUAGCUGACUCAUGCAUUACAGUAUAUACCCUCACAACAUCGCUCAUCGCUCUCUGAGUGUGUAACUGUUUAUGGUGUAGCUUUGCUGUAGCAGGGCCUGAUUGUUAAAGACCAGUUAGAGGUUUCACACUAUCAGCCCAUGUCCCUGAAGUGGAGAGCAAAGCCAUCAGUCUCCUCUAAGACCCCAGUCGCACUAUAAAUAGCUGGGAAGUGGAGGCCCACUCAAGCAAGCUAAAUGAGGCUGAAGGGACGUGUCGAGACAUGCUGAACUGCUGCUGUGUGUGGGCCUGGGUAAGGGGGGACUCGCUUCACCAACUGCAGUUACACAAUCACCGAAACUGUGUUGCCUAUUGCUCUUGGAUACAAGCAUAUCAGCAUGUUUUCUCCACUCUGUGUUCGCCUUCUAAACUUCCAGGAUGUGUCCGUGGGUCCAGAUUAACAUUCCUUACUCCUUAAAGUAAACCUAAAAGUGGAAAUGAUUAAAUGAAAUGAGUAAUCACUACUCAAAUGUGUUUAGAUGCCAUAUUUAUGUUAUUAGAACUCAGUAGCUGAACAUUGUUUAAAGAACUCCGAUUGAAAAUCAGAAAAUCUGUUACUUCAUUCUCCUCA